GCAGGUGUAGCUCAGUGGUAGAGCACAUGCUUUGCAUGCACAAGGUCCUGGGUUCAAUCCUUCGUACCUCCA
rnacentral:tRNA from 1 species